rnacentral:rRNA from 1 species
UAGGGAAUCUUCCGCAAUGGACGAAAGUCUGACGGAGCAACGCCGCGUGAACGAUGAAGGCCUUCGGGUCGUAAAGUUCUGUUGUUAGGGAAGAACAAGUACCAGAGUAACUGCUGGUACCUUGACGGUACCUAACCAGAAAGCCACGGCUAACUACGUGCCAGCAGCCGCGGUAAUACGUAGGUGGCAAGCGUUGUCCGGAAUUAUUGGGCGUAAAGCGCGCGCAGGUGGUUUCUUAAGUCUGAUGUGAAAGCCCACGGCUCAACCGUGGAGGGUCAUUGGAAACUGGGGAACUUGAGUGCAGAAGAGGAAAGUGGAAUUCCAAGUGUAGCGGUGAAAUGCGUAGAGAUUUGGAGGAACACCAGUGGCGAAGGCGACUUUCUGGUCUGUAACUGACACUGAGGCGCGAAAGCGUGGGGAGCGAACAGGAUUAGAUACCCUGUAGUCCACGCCGUAAACGAUGAGUGCUAAGUGUUAGAGGGUUUCCGCCCUUUAGUGCUGCAGCUAACG